GCGCGCGCGGGCGCCACGGCGGCGGGCACGAUCGCGGUCGCCGCGGCCGGGCGCGCGAGCGCGCCGCCGGGCGCGCCGUUCGAUCCGCCGCGCGCGCCC
rnacentral:tRNA from 1 species